UACGAAGGGGGCUAGCGUUGCUCGGAAUCACUGGGCGUAAAGGGUGCGUAGGCGGGUCUUUAAGUCAGGGGUGAAAUCCUGGAGCUCAACUCCAGAACUGCCUUUGAUACUGAAGAUCUUGAGUUCGGGAGAGGUGAGUGGAACUGCGAGUGUAGAGGUGAAAUUCGUAGAUAUUCGCAAGAACAUCAGUGGCGAAGGCGGCUCACUGGCCCGAUACUGACGCUGAUGCACGAAAGCGUGGGGAGCAAACAGG
rnacentral:rRNA from 1 species